UUUCUUCUUCUAUUCUCUUUUCUUCUUUCUCUUUAUGUUUCUCUUCGUCAUGUUCUUCUUCUUCUGCGAAUUUGAGAAAUGAGUUUGAGAAUCAAGUGAAGUUCUGCGUUCAGCAGAAGAUGGAGAAGAUAUUUAGUAGUCGGUGGGGAUGGUGAUGGUGUUUGUUGUUGAUUCAAAUUCGAAUCGGAGAUGAACUGAGUUUAGGAUUCCUCUGUAAAUUGAUGAAGGUGAAAAUGAUAAUGAGUUUAAGAUCAAGAGAUGAAGAAUACAGCUUUAGGUGGAUGAAGAAGGAAAGGUUGAUGUUUGAUUGAAGCUGUAGGAUUGUUUGACGUCUGUGAAUAAAUUAGGGUUUCUUGAAGAAAUUGAAAGAUGCAUUUGGAGUUGAAAUUGAUGGUUUAAAGGUGAGAUUUGAGAUCGGUUUUGAUCAGGAAUGAGGUAGUAAUGUUUGCAUGAGUUUAAUUUUGAUUUCAGUUCCUCAUGUUCUUCACCAAAUUAGAAUUAGGGUUCUUGUGUUGAGAAUUGGGAAUGGAAUUGGAGUUACUGAGCAUAGAGGAUGGUGAUGAAGAAAUUUGAUUUGAUAAGGUGAUGGAGUUGUUAUUGGUGCUGAUUCAGAUGUUGAUUCAAACUCAGGAAAAAUGGAAGGUAAUCUAGUUUUGGGUUUUGUUGACAUGAAGAGUCGAUUGAUGUCUUAAGCUUGAGUAAGAAAAGAAGAGGCUUGAUUUGGGAAUUAAAUUGGAGUUCCUUGAGAACUGAUGCGGUUAAUGAGGCUGGUGGAGAUGGUUUGCUCAAUUAUGUGAUGUAGAGGUUUUGAUCUCAAUUGCCUGAGCCAGAUAAUCAAAGGGAAUGUGUUGGUGGAAUGUUGUAUUGGUGUUAUUAAAAUGGGAUUUACAGCUUAUGGAUGAAAGAAUGGUACGAGGAGUAUGAACUGAGAUUUGCUGCUGGUGAAGGAUUGUUAAGUUCCGAGUUGUAGAUUCUGGUAAUAUGGUGUAGUGAAGUCUGGUGGUAUGAGUUAUAGGGAUGAAUGUGUAAAUAUUCUUGUUGGAUGGAACUGAGUGAGUAGUGCAAGUUGUUUAAUUGGCAGAGUAUGGAUUUGGGUCUAAGUGUAUGAGCUAUAGAUGGAAGAGUGAUUUAGUUGAGAUAAGUAUGGUAGCUGAUGAAUAUGAAUCAGUUAAGAGUUGAGAUAGCAGUGGAGCUGAAACUACAGGUGGAGAUGUCAUGGCUUGUUGAUGAGAUGGCAAUGGUUGUGAUGCUGCUGAUAUGAAUGUGUGCGCGGCAUACAAGAACUGUUGAUGGGUUCUGCUGAGUGUGGAGAUGGGGUUGAUUAGAAUUGAUGUGUUGUGAGAAAGGGAUUGAUAAUGGGAGUUGUAGGACUGUAGUUAGUGCUAGCAGUGAAAGCUUGGAAGAGCUGCAAUUGCAGGUAGGCAUAGUUUGUAAUUGAAAUUUGUAGUUUAUUUGAAUGGAUGAAAUGUUUAGUAAUUGUAUGAA